rnacentral:ncRNA from 16 species
GAGUGGCGCAGUGGGAGCGUGCUGGGCUCAUAACCCAGAGGUCAUAGGAUCGAAACCUAUCUCUG